GCCAGGUGUGGUGGCGCACACCUGUAAUCUCAGUGGCUAGGAAGGCCAAGGCAGGAGUAUGGCAAGAUCAAAGCCAGCCUCAGCAAUUUAGUGAGGCCCUAAGCAACUUAGUGAGACCCUGUCUCUU
rnacentral:sRNA from 1 species